rnacentral:rRNA from 1 species
CCCGCACAAGCGGAGGAGCAUGUGGUUUAAUUCGAUGAUACGCGAGGAACCUUACCUGGGCUCGAACGUAAGAUGACUGUAGGUGAAAGCUUACAUCUCUUCGGAGCAUUUUACGGGGUGCUGCAUGGUUGUCGUCAGCUCGUGCCGUGAGGUGUCGGGUUAAGUCCCAUAACGAGCGCAGCCCCUACCUUUAGUUGCCAUCAGGUAAUGCUGGGGACUCUAAAGGAACUGCCUACGCAAGUAGUGAGGAAGGCGGGGAUGACGUCAAAUCAGCACGGCCCUUACGUCCAGGGCUACACACGUGCUACAAUGGCCGAUACAGAGGGCAGCUACCUGGUGACAGGAUGCAAAUCUCCAAAGUCGGUCUCAGUUCGGAUCGGAGUCUGCAACCCGACUCCGUGAAGUUGGAAUCGCUAGUAAUCGUGAAUCAGAAUGUCACGGUGAAUACGUUCCCGGGCCUU